rnacentral:lncRNA from 1 species
AAUAUAAGAUCUAUUAUUCUUGUGGUGCCUUUGGGGUCAGGACACAUCCAUUGGUCACGUAGCCUUACCCAGGGUGCUCUCCUGGAACGGGAAUGCUGAUGGGAGACAAACCCUCAAGGACAUGGUUUGGGGUUUUUUUGGCUCCUUCCUGAAGCCAGUUUGGUUUUCCUUCAAGAAGCCUUUCCGCAGCUCUUGUUGCAAACCACACAUUAGCAAAGCAAUGAGCUCCUCCAGCCCUCUUUGCUCCUUGCUGGCUGUUGGGAAUCCAGGAAAAAAAAAAUAAUACAAUCUGUCCUCAGGAAUAACAAACAUCCUUCCCCUCUCUGCGGACCUGAGUGAAAAAUGGGGAUGUUCCAAUCCCGGAGCAGAAAUUCAUCCCUAAAGUCCAGGACUUGAAAGGAGUUGUGCCACAACCUUGAACUCUUUUACUGACCCUUUUGGUGGAUUCUCUGCCUGGUUUGGAGCAGAACCCACGACCUGGAGGGGAAUGUUUGAUUUAAAAGGGAACCUGGAGUUUAAUUGUCCUUUGGGUUUGGCUCUGCCGCGAGCGAAGCCCCGGUGAGCGUCUCGCAGAAAGGCAGCAAACCCCAAACCCGGGCAGGGCUGACUCGCUUUGGUUUAUUUUGUUUCGUUCACAGGAACGUAAACCAAGAGAAAAACGGUUUAAAAGCAGGGGGGGUGUGAGCAGAGGAGCCGGAAUGUGACGGAGGAAAGGGAAUGAGGAGUAAUUUGGCAGCAGCCGGCGGCGAUGGCUCGGCGCGUGUUCGUGCCCGGCUCUCAGAUCUCAAACCACGACCUCGGGUUUCUCCCUUGGCCACCAGACUUGAUGGGGAGUCAGGACUCUGAGAGAGACACCAGGAACCUUCCUGGGGCUGCAAUAACGAGGUUUAAUUAUUAGUUAGCUGUCUGGGCUUGCGGAUGGGGAGGUAUCAGCGCGUUCGUCUCCGCAGACGCAGACUGGAAGGCACACAGAGUGUGUGGGAUCCAACCCUGGCUUUGAAGGGGAUUCUGUAAUUUAAAAUUCACUCUAAACUUUACCCAGAAGUUAAUCCCCUUCCUUACCCUCUCUCCCCCAGAUUGCUUGAAUAACAUGAAUCAUUCCACCCCGUGCAUGUCAGACAAGGAC